rnacentral:rRNA from 1 species
CGUACACUCCUACGGGAGGCAGCAGUGGGGAAUUUUGGACAAUGGGCGCAAGCCUGAUCCAGCCAUGCCGCGUGCGGGAAGAAGGCCUUCGGGUUGUAAACCGCUUUUGUCAGGGAAGAAAAGGUUCUGGCUAAUACCUGGGACUCAUGACGGUACCUGAAGAAUAAGCACCGGCUAACUACGUGCCAGCAGCCGCGGUAAUACGUAGGGUGCAAGCGUUAAUCGGAAUUACUGGGCGUAAAGCGUGCGCAGGCGGUUAUGCAAGACAGAGGUGAAAUCCCCGGGCUCAACCUGGGAACUGCCUUUGUGACUGCAUGGCUAGAGUACGGUAGAGGGGGAUGGAAUUCCGCGUGUAGCAGUGAAAUGCGUAGAUAUGCGGAGGAACACCGAUGGCGAAGGCAAUCCCCUGGACCUGUACUGACGCUCAUGCACGAAAGCGUGGGGAGCAAACAGGAUUAGAUACCCCAGUAGUCCCAUGAU